CAGGAUGUCGCUGGCUCUUGGGAAAGAAGACAGAUAAAGAUAAAAAGAGACCGAAUACGAUUCCUGUAUUCGGUCCAGGGAAAUGGCUCUUGGGAGAGAGCCGUGCGCUAAAAGUUGGCAUUAAUGCAGGCUAAGUCGCCUUGCACUAUAAGAAUAGUUUAACGCGUCAGCUUUUCCAGUCCGCGGCCAAAGUGGCUGCAUAAUUCCUGGAAAGGGGGCCUCUGCCAGCGAAAAAACCGCCACUGCCGUUGUCCGGCA
rnacentral:sRNA from 2 species